AGCGGCGCAGGAUGCUAAACGCACUUUAAGCGAUUCUGUUUUGAAAUAUAAACACUCGAAACGUUCCUUAAGUUUCACCUUAAUAAAGUUUUAUCCAUCCGAGCUAAGAAGACGAGGAUAUGAUGAUAGAAAAGCUGGGGGAAAACGGAGAAAAAGUGUUAAAACAUGAUGCUAAUAAUCAAGAUUGAUAUCCACGGCUGUUGCACUUCACGGAGAAACGUUUUAUUCCUUCAAGACCAACAGACGGCACUUCUGUAUGAACAUCUCUCUGAAACUGCAUGAAAACAUGAAGAUUUGCCUGAACUGAGCUGAAUGAGGGCUCCAUUAGCGGCUAAUGCAUGGGAGAAGCUUCUGGAUGUAAAUAAGACGGAGCCGCCGCUUUGAGCUACAGAUGGUUUUUAAAGGAGCAACUGCUGAAACGAGACCCAGAGAAAGCCCUCGAACGCGGCGCGCCCAGCGUGAAUAAUGAUGCGAUCCGACGGCGUUGAAAGCGCCUCACUCUUGUCGCCUCAAAGUCGAAGAAGUGUUCGAAACAGCUGAAUUACAAAACCCACCUUGAAGAGCAGCGUGUGAAGGAAAGAAAAGGAGGAAAAGGUCAUGGGCGGCGCAGUUGAACCCGAACCCAGCCACUCAUCUACACAAUCGCAGAGUGGUCACGUGGUCGCUCACGCGCCGCGGCGGCCGCCCUGCGGUACG